rnacentral:rRNA from 1 species
UACGAAGGUGGAUAGCGUUGUUCGGAAUUACUGGGCGUAAAGCGCACGUAGGCGGGUCGUUAAGUCAGGGGUGAAAUCCCGGAGCUCAACUCCGGAACUGCCUUUGAUACUGGCGAUCUCGAGAUCGGAAGAGGUGAGUGGAAUUCCCAGUGUAGAGGUGAAAUUCGUAGAUAUUGGGAAGAACACAAGUGGCGAAGGCGGCUCACUGGUCCGAUACUGACGCUGAGGUGCGAAAGCGUGGGGAGCAAACAGG